rnacentral:rRNA from 1 species
ACUGCUCAGUAACACGUGGACAACCUACCCUAUGGAGGGGGAUAACCCCGGGAAACUGGGGAUAAUACCCCAUAGACUAUGGAAGCUGGAAUGCUCUGUAGUUGAAAGGUCCGCCGCCAUAGGAUGGGUCUGCGGCCGAUUAGGUUGUUGUUGGGGUAACGGCCCAACAAGCCUGUAAUCGGUACGGGUUGUGGGAGCAAGAGCCCGGAGAUGGAUUCUGAGACACGAAUCCAGGCCCUACGGGGCGCAGCAGGCGCGAAAACUUUACAAUGCGGGAAACCGUGAUAAGGGAACUCCGAGUGCCCGUAAAAUCGGGCUGUCCAUCUGUUUAAAUAACAGGUGAAGAAAGGGCCGGGCAAGACCGGUGCCAGCCGCCGCGGUAAUACCGGCGGCUCGAGUGGUGGCCACUAUUACUGGGCUUAAAGCGUUCGUAGCUGGUCUGUUAAGUCUCUGGGGAAAUCUACUGGCUUAACCAAUAGACGUUUCAGGGAUACUGGCAGACUAGGGACCGGGAGAGGUGAGAGGUACUCCAGGGGUAGGAGUGAAAUCCUGUAAUCCUUGGGGGACCACCUGUGGCGAAGGCGUCUCACCAGAACGGCUCCGACAGUGAGGGACGAAAGCUGGGGGAGCAAACCGGAUUAGAUACCCGGGUAGUCCCAGCCGUAAACGAUGUGCGUUAGGUGUAUCGAUGACCACGAGUCAUCGAGGUGCCGAAGAGAAAUCGUGAAACGUACCGCCUGGGAAGUACGGUCGCAAGGCUGAAACUUAAAGGAAUUGGCGGGGGAGCAC